AAGAAUAAAAUGCAGCAAGGUGCCCUUAUGAAUAGUAAGGGGUAACAGGGAAUCGGGUGAAACUCCCGAGCGGUCCCGCCACUGUAACCAGGGGAAUGCUCUUUUUUCGAAAGCCACUUGUCGAUUUGACGGGGAAGGCAAAAGAGCGUGUUGAUCCGGAAGCCAGGAGACCUACCUUGCUGCCACACCCAUG
rnacentral:ncRNA from 2 species